CAGCCGCCACGGUAAAACGAAGGGUGCAAGCGUUACUCGGAAUUACUGGGCAUAAAGCGUGCGUAGGUGGUGGUUUAAGUCCGUUGUGAAAGCCCUGGGCUCAACCUGGGAAUUGCAGUGGAUACUGGGUCACUAGAGUGUGGUAGAGGAUAGUGGAAUUUCCGGUGUAGCAGUGAAAUGCGUAGAGAUCGGAAGGAACAUCUGUGGCGAAGGCGACUAUCUGGGCCAACACUGACACUGAGGCACGAAAGCGUGGGGAGCAAACAGGAUUAGAUACCCCAGUAGUCCCUGUCUCUUAUAC
rnacentral:rRNA from 1 species